GUUGACUCGGAUCAGGGGGGUACCGCUGAACUUACCUAC
rnacentral:rRNA from 1 species